rnacentral:rRNA from 1 species
AUGGGGUGGGGUAUAUCGGUUCCACUAUAUAGGCGACGAUCCUUAGCGUGGUCGAAGAUAGCCAGGCCACCUGGAACUGGAACCCGUCCAGAUCCUUACCGGAGCAGCAUGGGAAAAUGCACAAUUGGGCGCAGGCUUGAUGCAGCAUGCGCGUGUAUGAGAAGCCUCGGGUUGUAAAGUACUUUCAGCGGGGAGGAAGGGUAGUUGAUGGUUAUAACUGUAGUCAAUUGACGGUACCGCAGAAGAAGCACCGGCUAACUCCGUGCCAGCAGCCGCGGUAUACGGAGGGUGCAAGCGUUAAUCGGAAUUACUGGGCGUAAAGCGCACGCAGGCGGUCUGUAAAGUCAGAUGUGAAAUCCCCGGGCUCAACCUGGGAACUGCAUUUGAUACUGGCAGGCUAGAGUCUCGUAGAGGGGGGUAGAAUUUCCAGGUGUAGCGGUGAAAUGCGUAGAGAUCUGGAGGAAUACCGGUGGCGAAGGCGGCCCCCUGGACAAAGACUGACGCUCAGGUGCGAAAGCGUGGGGAGCAAACAGGAUUAGAUACCCUGGUAGUCCACGCCGUAAACGAUGUCGACUUGGAGGUUGUGCCCUUGAGGCGUGGCUUCCGGAGCUAACGCGUUAAGUCGACCGCCUGGGGAGUACGGCCGCAAGGUUAAAACUCAAAUGAAUUGACGGGGGCCCGCACAAGCGGUGGAGCAUGUGGUUUAAUUCGAUGCAACGCGAAGAACCUUACCUACUCUUGACAUCCAGAGAACUUUUCAGAGAUGGGUUGGUGCCUUCGGGAACUGUGAGACAGGUGCUGCAUGGCUGUCGUCAGCUCGUGUUGUGAAAUGUUGGGUUAAGUCCCGCAACGAGCGCAACCCUUAUCCUUUGUUGCCAGCGGUCCGGCCGGGAACUCAAAGGAGACUGCCAGUGAUAAACUGGAGGAAGGUGGGGAUGACGUCAAGUCAUCAUGGCCCUUACGAGCAGGGCUACACACGUGCUACAAUGGCGCAUACAAAGAGAAGCGACCUCGCGAGAGCAAGCGGACCUCAUAAAGUGCGUCGUAGUCCGGAUUGGAGUCUGCAACUCGACUCCAUGAAGUCGGAAUCGCUAGUAAUCGUAGAUCAGAAUGCCACGGUGAAUACGUUCCCGGGCCUUGUACACACCGCCCGUCACACCAUGGGAGUGGGUUGCAAAAGAAGUAGGUAGCUUAACCUUCGGGAGGGCGCUACCACUUUGAUAAAUUCCCUUG